AGCCUUCUGAAUUUGUGCCGAUAUUUUAUCAGACACCAGACCAUUGGUAUUGAUGGGGCUCCCAAGAUAAGUAAAGCG
rfam:Schistosoma rodhaini strain Burundi genome assembly, scaffold: SROB_scaffold0003021